ACGCACGCUGGCGGCAUGCCUCACACAUGCCAGUCGAACGAGACCUUCGGGUCUAGUGGCGCACGGGUGCGUAACGCGUGGGAACCUGCCCUUAGGUUCGGAAUAACUCCCCGAAAGGGGUGCUAAUACCGGAUAAUGUCUUCGGACCAAAGAUUUAUCGCCUUUGGAUGGGCCCGCGUUGGAUUAGCUAGUUGGUAGGGUAAAAGCCUACCAAGGCGACGAUCCAUAGCUGGUCUGAGAGGAUGAUCAGCCACACUGGGACUGAGACACGGCCCAGACUCCUACGGGAGGCAGCAGUGGGGAAUAUUGGACAAUGGGCGAAAGCCUGAUCCAGCAAUGCCGCGUGAGUGAUGAAGGCCUUAGGGUUGUAAAGCUCUUUUCCCCGGGAUGAUAAUGACAGUACCGGGAGAAUAAGCUCCGGCUAACUCCGU
rnacentral:rRNA from 1 species